rnacentral:rRNA from 1 species
UACGGGGGGGGCAAGCGUUGUUCGGAAUUACUGGGCGUAAAGGGCUCGUAGGCGGCCAACUAAGUCAGACGUGAAAUCCCUCGGCUUAACCGGGGAACUGCGCCUGAUACUGGAUGGCUUGAGGUUGGGAGAGGGAUGCGGAAUUCCAGGUGUAGCGGUGAAAUGCGUAGAUAUCUGGAGGAACACCGGUGGCGAAGGCGGCAUCCUGGACCAAUACUGACGCUGAGGAGCGAAAGCGAGGGGAGCAAACGGG